rnacentral:miRNA from 1 species
UCUAAUAAAACUCAUCUUUCUCUCUCUCUCUCUCUCUCUCUCUCUCUCUCUCUCUCUCUCUCUCUCCUCUCGAGAGAGAGAGAGAGAGAGAGAGAGAGAGAGAGAGAGGUUUUUUUAAUAU